AGUGAACGCUGGCGGUAGGCCUAACACAUGCAAGUCGAACGGCAGCACAGAGGAGCUUGCUCCUUGGGUGGCGAGUGGCGGACGGGUGAGGAAUACAUCGGAAUCUACUCUGUCGUGGGGGAUAACGUAGGGAAACUUACGCUAAUACCGCAUACGACCUACGGGUGAAAGCAGGGGACCUUCGGGCCUUGCGCGAUUGAAUGAGCCGGUGUCGGAUUAGCUAGUUGGCGGGGUAAAGGCCCACCAAGGCGACGAUCCGUAGCUGGUCUGAGGGGAUGUUCAGGCACACUGGAACUGAGACACGGUCCAGACUCAUACGGGAGGCAGCAGUGGGGAAUAUUGGACAAUGGGCGCAAGCCUGAUCCAGCCAUACCGCGUGGGUGAAGAAGGCCUUCGGGUUGUAAAGCCCUUUUGUUGGGAAAGAAAUCCAGCUGGCUAAUACCCGGUUGGGAUGACGGUACCCAAAGAAUAAGCACCGGCUAACUUCGUGCCAGCCGCCGCGGUAA
rnacentral:rRNA from 1 species